rnacentral:lncRNA from 1 species
GCAUAGGUACAACAUCAAAAUCAGCAUAGUCAUUAUAGGAUCCAAUAGAAAAAUGCACGUGCACUGAUCUAGUUACCUUUGUCUUACCACUGUUGUUGAACCAUUGUAGUAGGUAUGUGUUGACAACAUAUUAGAGGCUCACGUGUGGAAGAAAGAAGGAGCAAGGAUCUGAUGGCAAUACGAAAAAAGGAAGCUUAAUUAAUUAGGACUUUACGUAAGGAAAGUUGGAGUCCGUGUAUCUUAAUAUUUCUUUUUGUUUAGAUAUUUCGUAUCAGGUAGUUUUGAUACGGUUCGUUCUAGAAGUUGUUAGUUCAGAGUAUAAAUAUGUACCUUCGGUCAUUAUAAA